rnacentral:rRNA from 1 species
UACGUAGGAUCCAAGCGUUUGUCCGGAUUUACUGGGUGUAAAGGGUGCGCAGGCGGACUUAUAAGUCAGUGGUGAAAUCUCACAGCUUAACUGUGAAACUGCCUUUGAUACUGUAGGUCUUGAAUUAGGGAGAGAUUCGUGGAAUUCCGAGUGUAAGCAGUGAAAUGUGUAGAUAAUUCGGAAGAACGCCAGAGGCGAAAGGCAGCGAAUUGGCCCUAUAUUGACGCUCAGGCACGAAAGCA